AAUAUAACCAGAUGCUCCGCAGGGCGCAGCUUUAUACGACCGCAGAGGUUGAACCCUGAACGGUUGGGGCAAGUAUGGACACAACAUUCAAGCUGGAUUCAGCUCUAAAUUUUGAUUGUGAUUAAAUAGUUGACACAGCAUAGGUUUCUGACACAGAAUGAAUGUGGUCUAAUGAACUUAAAAUAUUUUUUUGCCUUUGAGCAAUUCACUAUGCUGUUGAAUAUUAAUCCUCUCAAAAAAA
rnacentral:lncRNA from 1 species